rnacentral:rRNA from 1 species
UGGCGACCGGCGCACGGGUGAGUAACACGUAUCCAACCUGCCGAUAACUCGGGGAUAGCCUUUCGAAAGAAAGAUUAAUAUCCGAUAGGAUAUCAAGGUCGCAUGAUCUUGAUAUUAAAGAAUUUCGGUUAUCGAUGGGGAUGCGUUCCAUUAGUUAGUUGGCGGGGUAACGGCCCACCAAGACGACGAUGGAUAGGGGUUCUGAGAGGAAGGUCCCCCACAUUGGAACUGAGACACGGUCCAAACUCCUACGGAAGGCAGCAG